AGAGACAGCCUAUGGGAUAGCUCAGAGGAGAAGCACCAAGAUUCGACCAUAUCUACACCAGAGAUGAUUGGCAAUCCUUCUGAAAGGAGUGGAUAUGACAUGGAUAUAGGAGGGGUGCUCCAUGUGGAGAAUGUUGAGAAGGGGAUAUCACCGGUUACAAUUAUGCAAUUUCUAUAUCAGCAAGUUUCAGUCUCAUGUAGAGCAUUUGUUAUGCCAAGUACGUAGUCAAGAGUCAUAUACAAGAGGAAUCAUCAUACUGGAUAACAAAAGGAAUCUUGAAAAGUUGUCCAACUUCUUGGAGAGUCCAGAUCGCAUCAUCAUUUCCUCAAGAGGAAGGUAUAUCUUGUGUCAAUUGCUUUUAUUUGACUAGAAAUUGUUCAAACUUGUAAAUAUGUAGAGUGGUUCAAACUUGUCAUUUCAGCCUCCCAAUUGUUUAAACAGCCAAAUUGGACAUUGGAUAUGAUUUUUGGAUUCCUUUAGCUUUAUUCAUUGGUGUUUCUAAUGUCAUUAUUUUUCAAUUCUGUGCAAGCCUUGGUUGGUGCCUCAGAAAAAAUUCUUGGAUGACACACUGAGUUCAAUGUCCGAAGUAUGAAGUAUUCAGGCAUACUUCUCAGGUUAGUUUGCUAGAAUUUUUCACGCAAUUUGAUUGUGUGGGUGAAAUGACAAGCUCUGUGUUAGAACAUGUGUUUUCUGCAGAUUUGGUAAUAUUAGAUGCAGCUCAGGUGCUGAAGUGUAUAAGCAUGACCAUGGCAUACACAGCCCCGGUGACUAAUCAUUGCCUGGCAUAUGAGAUUAGUUGUGCCAUGAUAAAUAGAUAAUUUUUCUGACAGAGUCUAUCCUUAUACUCCCUGCCUGCAAAAAAGGGAAGAAAGCUUAUCAAAACCUGAGAAUGUAAAUGAACUGGUUUAAUCAAUUGAUUUGCCACUGAAAAGUACUAUUCCUAUUUGUUUUGCAGACAGCUUUAGAUGACAGAACUCUAAGCAGCAAUGAGUUAAAGGUAGUCAUUUCUGGGAGUCGAGAAUACCAGAAAGCUAAAAAGCUAGAGAAUUUGUUUAAGAAAUUUGCCGACCACCAAUGCAGAAUUCAUAAGAGGCUACUUUAUGAAGAGGCAGAGAUCUCAAAGCGACCUGUGUAAUGGAUUGUAGAGAUACUAGAGAUUUUAGUUGCUUCUGCAUGGGGCUGAGUCAAGGUUUGUGUACCCUUGGCUUUUUGAUUGUCACAAAUUGCCAUGCUAAUAGUUUCAUACUGGUCGUAUCAUUUUUUGUGCUGUGACAACAAAUUUAGUCUAUGGUACACUGCCACAGGAAUACUGUAGCUAAUUACAGCCAUAAAUUGUGACUUUCAUCAAUUUUCUCCAACUAUAUAUUGUUUGUCUCA